rnacentral:rRNA from 1 species
AGUGAACGCUGGCGGUAGGCCUAACACAUGCAAGUCGAACGGCAGCACAGUAAGAGCUUGCUCUUACGGGUGGCGAGUGGCGGACGGGUGAGGAAUACAUCGGAAUCUACUUUUUCGUGGGGGAUAACGUAGGGAAACUUACGCUAAUACCGCAUACGACCUACGGGUGAAAGCAGGGGAUCUUCGGACCUUGCGCGAUUGAAUGAGCCGAUGUCGGAUUAGCUAGUUGGCGGGGUAAAGGCCCACCAAGGCGACGAUCCGUAGCUGGUCUGAGAGGAUGAUCGGCCACACUGGAACUGAGACACGGUCCAGACUCCUACGGGAGGCAGCAGUGGGGAAUCUUCGACAAUGGGCGCAAGCCUGACCCAGCCAUACCGCGUGAGUGAAGAAGGCCUUCGGGUUGUAAAGCCCUUUUAUUGGGAAAGAACAGAAGCAGAAUAAUCCCCCGAUGUUCUGACGGUACCCAAAGAGUAAGCACCGGCUAACUUCGUG